rnacentral:rRNA from 1 species
CAGCAGCCGCGGGAAUACGUAGGGUGCAAGCGUUAAUCGGAAUUACUGGGCGUAAAGCGUGCGCAGGCGGUUUUGUAAGACAGAGGUGAAAUCCCCGGGCUCAACCUGGGAACUGCCUUUGUGACUGCAAGGCUAGAGUACGGCAGAGGGGGAUGGAAUUCCGCGUGUAGCAGUGAAAUGCGUAGAUAUGCGGAGGAACACCGAUGGCGAAGGCAAUCCCCUGAGCCUGUACUGACGCUCAUGCACGAAAGCGUGGGGAGCAAACAGGAUUAGAUACCCCCGUAGUCCCUGUCUCUUAUAC